CUCCCCUCUCUCCUUUCUUCUUUCUCUCUGUCCCUCUCUCUCUGUGCUCUCCCUGAACUCUCCCAUCUCCCAUCUUCUCUCUCCCUCUCCCCUCUUUCUCUCCAUGCUCUCCCUGCCCUCUUCUUGCCGGCGAGCCCGUCGUCGUCGUCGUUGCCGUUGCUGCCACCGUCCGUCGGAGGUAAGGUUCCCCUUUUUUUUGUGUUGAUCGGGCCACCGGGGGCGGAGGGGGUUGCGGGGAGGCAGGGCAGUGGCGGCUGGUGGCGCCAUAAGGUCGGGGAGGGGUUGGCCGGUGGGG
rnacentral:lncRNA from 1 species